AAGGUAGAACCCUAGCCGCCUCCCCAUCUGCCGCCCCGCCCGACCCGCUCACCCCACCGCUCCGCCCGUCCCGCUCGCCCCCUUCCCAGCCGCUCACCCCGCCCGUCCAGCUCGCCGUGGCCGAUGACCACGCCACCAGAGACCGCGGACCUUGGCGCAGGCCUGUGCUCCCGAGCGGUGGUCCCUCCUCGUCGCCACCCCUCUCCUCUGCCCCGUGUCGGAUCCGAGGCGUGCGGGCGCGGAGGCGAGCUUCUCCAGCGGUGGCCGCCACCCUCUCGUCUCCUCAAUCCUCUUCAUAUCGUCCCGCGUUCUUGAUCUAUGCCGCCGCGUGCUGUGGUUCUGGAUUGGGCGCAGGCUGCCGCCAUUGGAGAGCAGCGGCGGUGAGGUCUUUAGCUCGGGUGCGAGGAGCAGGGGGGUGAGGUGGACGGUGUUGUGGCGAAGAAGUGAUUGAUGCGGCCGGCAGCGAGCGCCGGUGAGCGACGAGGAUGCUACCAUCUCUCCUCAUAUCCUCCCAGAUUCUCGAUUGGAGCGGGGGACAGACGCCGCCACAGGCCACCGGGGACGCCUCUGCAUUGUCGUCGGCUGGACGAGGAAAACAGCAAGAUGCUGGCCUAUGCAUCGAACGUGGGCCGCUUCAGCUUUAGGGGAGAUUUGACUAUGGCGCAAGGUCCCCCACUUCCUUGUUGUGGCGCUGUAGCGUCAUGGGCCCUUCUGAAGGGAGAGGGAGGCACAUCGGAGGGUGGUAGCAGGUGCGUCUUGCUAAAGCAACCAGUGGUUCUCGUGGCCUGAAGCAGCAAGUAUUGUGGAGAUUGAUGGACUAGGUGCUUGCAGCCGCAGUCCAUCGUGCUCUCGGUUGCUGACCUUGAGGUCCAGCGGCAACUGCCCGUCGCUUAGGGGAUGCUUCUAAGCUGCAAUGCUCCAUAUCCGAUGCAAUAUAUUUCUGCUUUAUUGAAGAGGACUAACUUGUGCUGGGAAAGAUUCCUGAAGGUGAUGUCAGAUCAUUGGCCUGGAUUGUAGGAUUGCAUGAGUUGGGGCUUGCGAUUGCCCAUUGUGGUGCACAGGUAGAUUGUAGGAUGUACUUGCCGAAAUGAGCAUGGUCGCCAUGCUAAUUGUUCAAAUAUUCUAUGGUUAUUUCAGUGCUUAUCUCAGUUACUUGAUUUCUUUUGCAGUACUGCCAGGGGUGGCUGUUUGUUUACUGCAGGGGGUGUUGAUCUGCUGCCCCAUUAUUUGAUUACAUGUUUGAUGCUCUCCAAAAAAUGCUACAAAGAAUCAUAAGAAACUUCUCGUGAUAGAUUUACCAUUAGGGAUAUUUACAAAUGUUUACUUCUAAUUCAUUAGCAUAUCCUCUGUUUUUUUAAUUAAUUGUUGCCUCCUGUUUUUUGUUUAUCUUAGCCUUCUGGUGCUUUUGGUGUAUGGGCAAAACAGGUCAGAGUACAAAGUGGUGAAUUGCAUUUCACAUGCCAAGAUAAACAAAGAAUAAAAAAAGAAAACAUGGUAUUCUCUAACACAAGAGCAUGAUACCUUGGGUCCAUUGGUGCAGACCAAGAGAUAAGAACUACUUAUGCUGCAAUAGUUUCAGUGGAAGUAUAGUCAGGUGUUUAAUUGUUUUUUUACAGUUUUAGCUAAUUGGCUGGGUAUCCACUUUAUCUUUUGUGCUUGCACAUAUAAUCGAUUCUCUGGUCCAUACUUGCAUGUUCUCUAAUUAUCUUGGAGUGCUGGCAAGUAAUUAGAACAUAUCUUGGUCCAUACUUGCAUUAGAAUAUGCCACAUAGAAGGAUGUCGCAUAUCUUGGAAUAAGAAUGGCCACACGAGCAUUCUGUCAUGAUAUUGUAAUGAGUGGUCGAUACUUGUGGCAGUGCUGCAAUGGUGCUAUGUUGCAUGUUUGCACAAGAUGCCUGUAAAUUCUUGAUCUUCGUCAUGCCUCCUGCUUACUAUUAGUUCAAUUGAGCCCAAUCUUUCUGGUCGUAUUGCUACGCGCUUAUGAUUAGUUGCUCUAUUUCUUGGUUGUUGUAUUGUAGGAUAGGGAGGCAGAAGAGAGGACAUGCCGGGGAAUGAAGGAGAACAAACAGUGUCUCAGGCACACAAGCUAAAGGUUCACCAAGUUCAGGGAAAGAAAAGUUUCCCUAGACAUGUGGCAGCAGCUGUUAAGACAAGAGCGGCGCUGUGAGCGACAACCCUCGAUCGUCUUCCUUGUGGAAUCAGGUACGCGUCGUCCAUCGUGGGUGUUGGCGGGUGGCCGGAGGCGGCUACAUCAGGCCAGUGUCCGUGAUCAAGACUGACACCAGGAAGGCUGCCGGUCUACAGUUGUGCACUCAAUUCAAAUGAUUAUUCUCCGUUCUUUUCCUCAGAACUACAUAUGAGAGGUACAAAGGGUUGGCCAAGAUACUCAAUUAAGCUAUUCGAUUUAAGGUCCUUUGCUGAUGUUGGUUGUGUCCUUGCUGCUUGGAGAGGGGGUGAGGGCAGAGGACUUUGAUGCCAGAAAUAGGCGAGUAUUUUCAGGUCCACUACACCAAAGAAAAGCUGAAAGAGUACAUCAAACCAGAUGAUGACACACUCAAGGUCAAGCUCGCAAACAGCAGUCUGCACACCAGUUGUCGUAUCAUGCUGGGAACAGACAAGAGAGCCACAAUAACCAGAAACUGGUCGGAGUUCCGCCACCGUGCAAACAUCCAUGAAGGAUUGUAUCUGCGCCUUUUGUUUCAAGGUUACCGCAGAGCACCGCCUGACUCUCAUCGUCCAUGUCCUCUAGACGGACCAUCUACAGCAACCCAUGCCUUUUGCAUGCAUAGCCUGUUGUCUUAAGAAGAUCUAAUUUGCCUCUAUGAUAAGAUGAACCUUACCUGUGGUUGCCGAUGAUGCCAUACGUUGCUUUUGUACAACUGCCGGUGAUAUUAUAACCUAUGUAACCCCAGUUAUUAUUACCCGGCAGCACAUCCAUCUAUUGAUCUUACGCAUGAUUUUCUAUC